AGAUCAGUGAGGGUUACUAAUUAGAUUAGAAAAAAAAAUCAUUCUCAAAAGAAAGAAAAACAUUCCUUCUCAGGUGAAUUUAAAGAGACAGGUGGAGGCAAGUUCUAGAGCUGUCCGCUAGGGUAGCCACUAAUGACUAGGGGACCUUAAGCUAGCCACAUUUCAAACCGUCAAUGACCACAUGUAACGAAUGGCUACCUCAUUGGACAGCGCAGAUUAUACCACAUUGCCAGCAUUACAGAAAGUUGUAUUCAGCGCCGCGGAUCUAGAUCCCGGGACGGGGAAAUCGCCCUGUGUUGGUAAUCCAAGCCUUUUUGUAAGCGCUGCUAGGUCAUGGUUAAUCACGUUAGUCCUCUAGACACAGUUCAUGCUAAUGCAUGUUUACAUAUGAAUGUGUUUGUUAGCAUAAGCCCCAUCAACAAAUAAUAAUCGAAUGACUACAGCAUGUAAAGCUUUUGUUUAGAGGAUGGAGGGAGUGGAAACAAUAGUUAACAAUUAUCAAGUAAUUAAGAGCCAGCCAGCCUUACAUGCAUUCUCUUAUGAUGCUUCUGCAAAUUUAUAAGGUCGGUGCUGGUAUUUGCAGUUGAUAGAUGAGGGCACUGAGGUUUAUGCUCAUGAUGACACAAACUACUAAGUUCAAGAUCUUAACCAUUAGCUAUAUUGCUUCUUUGGGGGCGGAAUAAAACAUCCUUUGUCUUCAGAUAGCUUAGAAUCUGAUAUGGGGAAGACAUGCUGUAAUUAUAUGAGAAUGUGAUAAAUGCCAAAGGAUUUGGAAUAGAAUCUAAUUAAUAAAAUCAAGGGAGGAAAAAAAAAAACCCUCAGCUUUUUGUUUGUUGUCAGAGGAGGAAGAGAGCAGGAGGUAAAGCUUUAAGAAGGACAGAUAAAAGUUGGAUUUACAAUAAUGGAAGUAGAUGAGGGCAUAAGGCAUACCAGGCAAAAGAGAAUAAAUGAAAUAAGCCAAAGCAUGAGGAUAGUUUUAGUCCUCCAAAGGUGCAAGUAAACCAGACUUCUCUGAUUUUACCUCUUAUGAGCAGAGAUCCAUGCUGUAUCAAUGACUUGAACUUCAAAGACACAUUUGCUAAUGGAACCAAAUGAAUUAGACCAAUUUACUGACAGACUUAAUUUUUAUUGAGUAUUGUUCUAUAUAGUCAUACAAAAUAAGCCCUUCAUGAAAAUGGUAAUAUUUUUAUAUAGCCAAGCCAAUGUAAAAAAAUUGCCUGACUUUGUUAAUUCACCAGGGUUUAUAGCAUCUUUGUUGAUAAUUUUCUGGUGCCAUGAGUUCUUUAAUCUUUGCUGAUAGGUGAGCCUAAAUGUGAGUUUAGGUUCCUGGGACAGAGAGUGGGUUUCAAAGCACGGUUUUUUCUUGCAGUAAAGUCCUUUCCAAUUGGAGUCCUCAGUGCCAGCUGUAGUUGAAGACUCAUUUUGUCACCACUGCUGCCAGCAGGGGGAGUCCUGCUCCCUUAAAUGCCAUCCUGCUAGAACGGCUCCAUGUCCAUGUGGAAGCGGUACCGCCACACCCUUUCCUGCUGUGGGGAGGCCAGUGGGGAGCCAGAAGGCACUUGUGUGGGAAAGGAUGCCAGGAAUGGAGACUGGCCACCACAGAGGCAAGCUUUGCAGAAAACACCUCCAUCGGGCCCUCUACUCUGCACGUGGUACAGUGGUGGAUAGGAAAUUAUGAAGAGAUGGUUUCUGGAUCUCAGCACGAAGAGAUGGUGCCUGGCCAUGGGGAACCUUCAUGUGCACUGAUUGGACAAUAAAUACACAAGCAGGGUCAGCAGGAGAGAGGGAAGACGGCCUCGACCACCGUGCAUUUGGACUGAGGCAUCGCAUCAUCGGGGCGGUCGAGGGGUGCAGCCUUCACACCUCCCCUUGGUCUACCUGGAGCAGAAAAAUAUACUAGGACAUCUUCUCAGGCCAGCAGAUAAGUAUAUUUAAUUUGCAUGGAUGUUGUGGGCUCUGCGGUAUUAAACUAGUGGUUGGGAAUUGCCCCCGUCAUUCUGUCUUUUGUCAGCAGCGAAAAUGACCUGGGUGCCUGCACCGGGCUUGGGACUGGACAUCGGUCCUUGGGCAGCUGGGGAAGGUUAAAGUCGAGCAAGGCACAGAGCUGUUGCAGAAUAAGGACAUGCCUUCCCAACAGAACCCUGAUGAUCUUGACCCCUUUGGCCCCUGACACAGGAGAAUACCAGCGGAUGAGGCGGGGACGAACAGAGGGCAAGGCCACAUGGAGAGAGAGAAAGGUCACCAAGGGGUCUCCAUUACAAGCGGUCUUGAGCCCAGUAUGAUUUUCUCCUACAAUUGAAUCUACUCCCUGGAUGGCCUCCAGUGUUCAAGCUGAUGACAAUCGCCUGUCUUUGCAAUUGAUUUCCUGGAAGCGGCUGGCCGGCCAGCAGCCACAUGAUGGAUAUAUGCUGGGGGACUGGUGCGGCUGAGUGGGGCAUAGGAGCUGUAAGCGACCCCCCCCCCCCACACACACACAGACACACAUCAUGGCAGGGUCUGUCAAAUGUAGGACGCCUGCACUUCUGCCCACUCACUCCACCUUGAGGUAGCAACGCCCAGAGAACUAUUCACACAUGUGCACCGAGAGGCAUGGGCAAGGAUGCUGGCUACAGAAUUGUUUGCGUGGAAAAAAAUUGGAGCCGCCUUAUCUGUUCAUGCGGGAUGGGAGGAGCUGCCACAUUCUGAAUGUGAAGGGCAUCCCUUGGGAUUGUGCAGAGGCACUAUCUACCAUAAAAUCCUUUUGACUCCUGCUUCCCAGAGUUGGGCGGGCAACGGGGACCCUGAGUGAGGGUGUGAGUGGAAAGGGUAGGAUUGAAUCGGCUGUGUUACAUCCAUUCAGGCAAUAUGACGCAGACGCUUUUAAAAAACAACCAACAAGGAUGCCCCGUGUAUAUUGACAUGAGAAGAUGUCCAGGAUAUACUGUUAUGGGGAGAAAAUUGCAGAGCGAUAUGGUCAACAGGAGAGUAUUUGCGUAAAAGCAAAGAAAAAUAAAGAUCCUGGCACCCUGCACGUGCGUGCAUGGAUGUACCUGCGCGUGUGUGUAAAUGCUUAGUAAAAGCCCGUGAUGACACACAGCAAACUGCUAAUACAGGUCACUGCCAGGGAAAGCAGUGAUAAUUGAUGAGAGAUGGGAAUAAAAGGAACUUUUCACUUUUUUCUUUCUUUA